rnacentral:tRNA from 4 species
GGAGGGUUGGCUGAGCGGCUCAAAGCGACGGUUUCGAAAACCGUUCUCCCGUAAGGGAGGCACAGGUUCGAAUCCUGUACCCUCCGCCU